AUUGAACGCUGGCGGCAGGCCUAACACAUGCAAGUCGAGCGGAUGAAGGGAGCUUGCUCCUGGAUUCAGCGGCGGACGGGUGAGUAAUGCCUAGGAAUCUGCCUGGUAGUGGGGGAUAACGUCCGGAAACGGGCGCUAAUACCGCAUACGUCCUGAGGGAGAAAGUGGGGGAUCUUCGGACCUCACGCUAUCAGAUGAGCCUAGGUCGGAUUAGCUAGUUGGUGGGGUAAAGGCCUACCAAGGCGACGAUCCGUAACUGGUCUGAGAGGAUGAUCAGUCACACUGGAACUGAGACACGGUCCAGACUCCUACGGGAGGCAGCAGUGGGGAAUAUUGGACAAUGGGUGAAAGCCUGAUCCAGCCAUGCCGCGUGUGUGAAGAAGGUCUUCGGAUUGUAAGGCACUUUAAGUUGGGAGGAAGGGCAGUAAGUUAAUACCUUGCUGUUUUGACGUUACCAACAGAAUAAGCACCGGCUAACUUCGUG
rnacentral:rRNA from 1 species